rnacentral:rRNA from 1 species
UACGUAGGUGGCAAGCGUUGUCCGGAUUUACUGGGCGUAAAGAGCGCGCAGGCGGUCGUUCAAGUCGCGUGUGAAAGCCCCCGGCUCAACUGGGGAGGGUCACGCGAUACUGAUCGACUGGAAGGCAGGAGAGGGUAGUGGAAUUCCCGGUGUAGCGGUGAAAUUCGUAGAUAUUAGGAAGAACACCAGUGGCGAAGGCGGCUCACUGGCCCGGUACUGACGCUGAGGCGCGAAAGCGUGGGGAGCAAACAGG